rnacentral:rRNA from 1 species
CCUACGGGAGGCAGCAGUGAGGAAUAUUGGUCAAUGGGCGCGAGCCUGAACCAGCCAAGUCGCGUGAGGGAUGACGGCCCUACGGGUUGUAAACCUCUUUUGCCGGGGAGCAACGGGCGCCACGUGUGGCGCCACGGAGAGGACCCGGAGAAAAAGCAGCGGCGAACUCCGUGCCAGCAGCCGCGGUAAUACGGAGGUUGCGAGCGUUAUCCGGAUUGAUGGGGGUUAAAGGGUGCGUAGGCGGAUCGUUAAGUCAGUGGUCCACUUGAGGGGCUCCACCCCUUCCCGCCAUUGAAACUGGCGCUCUUGAGUGGACGAGAAGUGUGCGGAAUGCGUGGUGUAGCGGUGAAAUGCAUAGAUCUCACGCAGAACCCCGAUUGCGAAGGCAGCAUGCCGGCUUCCGACUGACGCUGACGCACGAAAGCGUGGGGAUCGAACAGGAUUAGCUACCCCAGUAGUC